rnacentral:rRNA from 1 species
CAGUAGCCGCGGGAAUACGAAGGGGGCUAGCGUUGUUCGGAAUUACUGGGCGUAAAGCGCACGUAGGCGGAUAUUUAAGUCAGGGGUGAAAUCCCAGAGCUCAACUCUGGAACUGCCUUUGAUACUGGGUAUCUUGAGUAUGGAAGAGGUGAGUGGAAUUCCGAGUGUAGAGGUGAAAUUCGUAGAUAUUCGGAGGAACACCAGUGGCAAGGCGGCUCACUGGUCCAUUACUGACGCUGAGGUGCGAAAGCGUGGGGAGCAAACAGGAUUAGAUACCCCCGUAGUCCCUGUCUCUUAUACA